GGAAGAAGCGUCCUCGGGCUUUGCGGCAUGGUCGCCCGCGGCCCCGAAGUGAAGGAAGAUCGGAAAUUGUACAGUUUGGGAUUAAAAGGCUACUACGUUAAAGACAACGGCAACAGUGCAGGAGAGCAAGCUACAGAAGAGGAGGAAGGUGGUCACUCCCAGGGCACUGCAGAGUCAUGUGACAGCAAAAACAUAGGCCCAGAUGAAAGUGAACUUGAUUCUGAGGCUGAACUCAUGAGAAGUAUGGGACUGCCACUUCAGUUUGGUAGCAUGUCUGCACAUAAGAAUUUUGAGGUAUCUAUGAAUACUAGAAACAAAGUUAAAAUAAAAAAGAAAAAGAAAAAACAUCAGAAGAAGUGCUUAGAUGAAAUUAAGAGAGAAUCUUGGAGACAAGAAUGUGAGGAAGAUGACAUUUUGGCUUCAGAUGAUCCAUCUUCAUCUGAGAAUGAGAACACCAGGUAUAAACUUCAAACCAAAAAAGACGUUGAAGCUGAAAAUCUUCCUGCUGAAAAUACGUCAUCUCCAAAGCUGGAGAUUACCGAGAUGUGGGAAAAGUACUGGAAUGAGUAUGGUGGAGGACUGUUGUGGCAAAGCUGGCAAGAAAAACAUGCAGGUCAGACACUGUGUUCAGAACCCUGGAACGUCCCUGAUACGAAGGAAGCAUGGGAGCAGCAUUAUAGUCAGCUGUAUUGGUACUACUUGGAACAGUUUCAGUAUUGGGAAGCUCAGGGUUGGACUUUCGAUGCUUCACAAAGCUGUGAUACAGAAACGUGUGCGUCUAAAACAGAAUUUGGCAACAAGAAAGAUGAAAAUUGCGCGAAAGCAGAUGAAUUUUCUUCUCCAUCUUCAUCAGUUGGUGGCGAAAGCUCUAGCUCAAGUGAUAAAGACCACAGCGAAAUAGUUGAUGCACUUAGUGUUGUAAGUCUGAAUUCGGAGGAAGUAGGACAGAGCCAACUAGAUUCCUCUGCGAGGUGUGAUGGACAUCAGUGUGCAGGUGAAGUUAACAGCAGACGAGAAUGCCCUGCUUGUGGCCAAAGUGGACCACGUAAUGGAGGAAGCAAGGAAAACAACCCCUCUGUGAACAGAGGCACAAACCAACCAGCUCAGGAUCCACAGGGGUCAUCAGAAGCAAACAGCGUCCCAGACAGAGCCCGCCCCAGCGGCACCGACGGAGACGAGAGUGGGGACGAUCCCCCGGAACAGAGGCCAAGCAAGCUCAAGAGGAGCCACGAACUGGACAUGGAUGAAAACCCAGAUUCAGACUUUGAUGACGACGGUUCCCUUCUAGGAUUCAAGCAUGGCUCAGGACAAAAAUAUGGUGGAAUUUCAAAUUUCAGUCACCGGCGGGUCAGGUAUCUGCAGAAGAAUGUGAAGUACAAGUCAAAGUACUUGGACAUGAGAAGACAAAUCAGUAUGAAAAACAAACACAUCUUCUUCACUGAAGAGCCAGGAACAACUCUUUUCAAGAAAAGCAAAACUUUGAGUAAGGUAGAAAAAUUCCUAAAAUGGGUUAAUGAACCAAUGGAUGAGGAAGCAUCGCAGGAGUCGGUUUCUCAUAACAGUGUGCAAGACACUUGCACAAGCAGUGGUUCAGAGGACCGAGACGUGUCUAUUGAAAAAAGGGAUGACCCACUGGACACAAGUGAGCCGGAACCUGGAAAGUGUGAAGAACCUGGAAAGUGUGAAGAACCUGGAAAAUGUCAUGCCGUGUCCCCAGCCGGGGAAAUGGAAACAGAGAAAAAUGACAGGGACAGCACAGAAGCAGCCGUGACAGAUGAGGGGGACUGCGCUGCUCAGGCUGCACCAGACCCUCCUCAGGUAGAAGCUGAAGCUGAAAAUAAAAAGAAGAAGAAGAAGAAGAAAAACAAGAACAAGAACAAGAAGGGGAUGGGCCUGCCUCCGGAGAUCGCCGCCGUGCCCGGGUUAGCAAAGUACUGGGCCCAGAGGUACAGGCUCUUCUCCCGUUUUGAUGACGGGAUUCAGUUAGACAGAGAGGGCUGGUUUUCAGUCACGCCCGAGAAGAUCGCCGAGCACAUUGCCCACAGGGUCGCCCAGUCUUUCCAGUGCGACACUAUAGUCGACGCCUUUUGUGGAGUCGGAGGAAAUACCAUUCAGUUUGCCUUAACAGGAAAGAAAGUGAUCGCCAUUGAUAUUGAUCCUGUUAAGAUCGAUCUCGCUCGCAAUAAUGCAGAAAUUUAUGGGGUGGUGGACAAGAUUGAGUUCGUCUGUGGAGAUUUCCUGCAGCUGGCUUCUGGUCUAAAGGCUGACGUCGUGUUUCUCAGCCCGCCUUGGGGAGGACCGGACUACGCCACUGCCGAGAUCUUUGACAUCAGCAACAUGAUGUCCCCUGGUGGAUAUCCUUUGGGAGGCCUCAGCGUUUGCUCAGACAGUGGUUUUGUGUGUGUGUGUGUGUGUGUGUGUGUGUGUGUGUGUGUGUGAGAGAGAGAGAGAGAGAAAUUAGUAAGGAGGAGAGCUCUGAGCUAAUAGCACUUGAUAUAGAUUCCAGUUUGUUUUGCAUAAAAGUUAACUGGUGAGUGAUCUCCAAAAGUUACGGCAAAUGUGAGGUCGUAUUUCCAUUGCUUACUCUCCAGUUUUACCAUCACAGAACAGGAACUGAAAGGCAUUCAUUGUGUGGAAUUACUGUCUGGAAGUUGGGGGCUUCCUUGAGACCUGUCCCUAGAGUCUGGGAAUCUGUCCCCUAACUGUUCUCCUCACGCUGACUUGAAUCCUCUGUGUGUCCAGAGUUUCCCUGUUACUUUUCCAGGAUGCUGGCACAAGCCCUUACUCCAUAAAGAAUAGCAUUUGUCAUUUGCUCCUCUCUUUCUCUCUGUUCCCCAGAGGAGUCGUGUAUGACUUUCACAGGAAUUGUGUUUUAAGUUGCUAAUUAAAAUUUAGAAAAAUACAGUGGACAUCAUUCCUUGUCUGUACUCUUUACUGGAAAGAGGCAGUAUUGUGCUUUCCUAUUCUUUCUGUUUUCACAGAAACUAGGAGGUGGCAGGAAGAAAGAGUGUGUAUUUCCAGCUCUUGGUUUCCUACCACUAGGCUAAUUGAAUAAAUAGAUGUAAGCUCUAAUCCCUGACCCAUCAGGGACAGUAUGCUACCUAAUUCUCUUUUAGGUCCCGUUUGAGGGUAUUGUUACACAUUGAAGUGCAUUUGAGUUGUGAUAUAAUAUGUGAAGAACGUUUAUCUUUGAUCAGAAAUUAACUGCUGUUUUUGUUACCUUUCCUUAACUACUGUCCACCUUUGAAAUUUUCAGACUUUCCCAGAAGAUCACUAAUAAUAUUGUUUAUUUUCUUCCAAGAAAUGCUGAUAUCGACCAGGUGGCGUCCUUGGCUGGGCCUGGCGGGCAAGUGGAAAUAGAACAAAACUUUCUUAAUAAUAGAUUGAAGACAAUCACUGCUUAUUUUGGGAACCUGAUCCGAAGAUCAGCCUCAGAAUCAUAAGUGAGGCGGUACAGAGACCAAAAGAUCCUGCAGUGGUCAGAACACUAUUCACUGGGAAUUCCUUCUCUCUAGUCACUGAUACUUUGUGCCCAUAGUCGAAUGGGGAUUGGUACCCUAAUAUGCCUUUUUCUCCACAUUGAUGUGG